AAAUGACUUCCUCUCGUAAACUGCAGUGAACAUCAGCCUGCCUUUGACUCCUGGGGUUGGUUGGCCAGUCCUAUUGCACGAUUUGUCUGAAUUUUAACCAAACUUUCUUAUUGGAUCCCAACAGCUGCCUAUUAGCUUCGAAGGCUUCCUACCAGCACGGCAGUCCCAUGUCCUCCAUAUCUUCAAAUGUGAACCACCAGAGAGGCUUCUACCUUUCGGUUACGUUGAACAAUAAUGAAAAAUAAUUGCCUUUUUUUUUUUUUUUUUUUUUUAAUAAGAGAGGAAAUGUUACCGAUGGCAAGGUCUUCAAAAGGCCACUUCGCAAACUGAAAAUUUACUUGAAAGCACACAAUCUUUUGCUGGAGACCAGGCUUGGUAUGUUUCUGAUUACACCGGUGACCCUCACCCUGAAAAGCCUUUGUAGAUGGGCCUUUUUUCUAGACAACCUACUGAUGAGCAAAUGAUCUAACAGAUUUCACACCACAUAAAUUUAAGCCUAAUAAAUGGCUUCAAAUUCAGAGCUCCUAAUUCUGGGUCCAGAGAGGUAGUCUUUUUACAAAGGCAAUCAUGUAGACAAUUAAUAAACCCACACACAGCACCGGGAAAGAGUGAAUUCUGUCCCCGUCUCCUGAUCCCCUGUCCCCAAACUCCAAAUGAUUAGCUCCCGGAAAUGUAGAUUUGCCUUGAGCUCCUCGUAGGGGCAGAAGACAUGUCCGUGCAAGGUCCACUCUGUCCAGGACAGUAGCCACUAGCCACAUGUGGGCUACUUAAAUUUACAUUUGUAUUAAUUAAAAUAGAAAAAAUCCUGUUCUUUAGUUGCACCAGCCACAUUUCAACCGCUCAAUAACCACAUGUUGCUAGGAGCUACUAGAUACAUCACAGAAUAGAAUGCACCCAUCACUGCAGAAAGGUGUGUGGGACAGCGCCGGUCUCUUCUUCAGGCAAAACCUCUCAGGACCCAAACUGCUUCUGUUUUGUCUCAACUAUCAGUAACUGUUACCCUCCGGAACUGUUUUAUUAUAUUAGCCUAGGUACGAAGAACACAGCAAACGGUCUAGCGGUUCCUCAAACAAGAUCACCGUGUGAC
rnacentral:lncRNA from 12 species